CGCUCCCUGAGUUGUACGAUUUUUCGGUAACGUCCCUGAGCCGAUAUUCACACCUUAGGAGGUGUCUUGUCUUGCUGGCGUGCAAGUCCGCCUUGAGCGGAAAGCCCAACGCCUGACAGAUACCCCCGCCUUGAACCGAAGGGUUCAAGGGCCACUCCGACAACGGCAACUCGGGGGGUCU
rnacentral:other from 1 species